rnacentral:rRNA from 1 species
UACGGGGGGAGCAAGCGUUGUUCGGAUUUACUGGGCGUAAAGGGCGCGUAGGCGGCCACCGCAAGUCGACUGUGAAAUCUCCGGGCUUAACUCGGAAAGGUCAGCCGAUACUGCGGGGCUAGAGUGCAGAAGGGGCAACUGGAAUUCUCGGUGUAGCGGUGAAAUGCGUAGAUAUCGAGAGGAACACCUGCGGCGAAGGCGGGUUGCUGGGUUGACACUGACGCUGAUGCGCGAAAGCUAGGGGAGCGAACGGG